CAGAGGGGAGAGUGACAGUUGGAGUGACAGAAGGUUGCUUAGAGUGAGAGGGAUGUGGUGGAGUUUACAAGGGACAGUUAGUGACAGAAGAGGUUAUAAGAGACAGUUGAGACAUAACCAGCAACGGCAGCUGCCGCAGUGCUCAGAACUGGAGUCAGCCUGCCAAGGAUUAAUGGAUGGGUGACACUCCAUGCUGUAGCCAGACUGCCAAGGGCAAGGCAAAAAGAAAUACUUUGUCUUUGAGAACCUCACCAAUAGGUCCCGGGAACAGAAUUAUAUUUACAGGCCCAGAUGGUACAGGAGAUUACAGAUCAUGGCUUACGGAUGAUACUCAUUACGUAGGAGCAAAAACUUCACCAACAGAGGGUACGAGCGACGCUGAAUACUUGUGGCGACCUGCAUGGAGCAAUCCUCCUCUAUGGCUCAACAGAGAUGUCUUUGUAGGAGGAAUUGGCUGGGGACUACCAGAAUUUGCUUUUCUCAGACAAAGAACCACUUUGAGGGACAAGCAGACUGGAAUAUUGCCUCCAUCUGAAGAGUUUGAAAUAAUUCAGCGAUACAGAAAUCCCAGGGUCCACCAUGGUUUGCAUUUGAAUGGGAGACGUGUGAGCACUCAAAGGUAUUCCCAUCAGGGAGAGAGCAGCUGCAUGCUUGCAUUCUGAAGGUUCCAAGUUCCAUCAGCAUCUUCAGGUGGAAAAUGUAUCCCAGUCCUGAUCCACAAGUCUUGGGUUGGUCAGGCUACCCAUUCUAUGAUCCUGCUAGGCUGGCCAUUUUAUAUCAUCAAAUGAAGAAUUAAGACAUACAAGACUGAAAGGCAUCAAGAGGCCAACUUUCAAGCACAAGACAACCUACAACAAUUUAAAAAUAAAUGAAGCGCAAUUAAUAUGUAACAGAACAAUUAAAGUAACCAACAAAAGAUUAAAGAAUACGGUUCCUGUACUGCA